AAUGAACGCUGGCGGCGUGCUUAACACAUGCAAGUCGAACGUGAAAGAGGUAGCAAUACCUUGAGUAAAGUGGCAAACGGGUGAGUAACGCGUGAGUAAUCUGCCUUAAAGAUUGGGAUAACCUGUCGAAAGAUAGGCUAAUACCGGAUAAUAUUUUAUUUACAUAUGUAUUUAAAAUUAAAGAUGGCCUCUACUUGUAAGCUAUCGCUUUGAGAUGAGCUCGCGUACUAUUAUGCUAGUUGGUAGGGUAAUGGCCUACCAAGGCUGUGAUGGUUAGCGGGUCUGAGAGGACGAUCAGCCACACUGGAAUUGAGAUACGGUCCAGACUCCUACGGGAGGCAGCAGUGGGGAAUCUUGCGCAAUGGGGGAAACCCUGACGCAGCGACGCCGCGUGAGCGAUGAAGGCCUUCGGGUCGUAAAGCUCUGUUUGGUGGGAAGAAGUUUCAGUGACUAAUAAUUAUUGAAGUUGACCGUACUGCCAGAGAAAGCCUCGGCUAACUACGUGCCAGCAGCCGCAGUAAAAC
rnacentral:rRNA from 1 species